GACGAACGCUGGCGGCGUGCUUAACACAUGCAAGUCGAACGGAAAGGCCCUGCUUUUGUGGGGUGCUCGAGUGGCGAACGGGUGAGUAACAAGUGAGUAACCUGCCCUUGACUUUGGGAUAACUUCAGGAAACUGGGGCUAAUACCUGAUAGGAGCGCCUGCUGCAUGGUGGGGGUUGGAAAGUUUCGGCGGUUGGGGAUGGACUCGCGGCUUAUCAGCUUGUUGGUGGGGUAGUGGCUUACCAAGGCUUUGACGGGUAGCCGGCCUGAGAGGGUGACCGGCCACAUUGGGACUGAGAUACGGCCCAGACUCCUACGGGCGGCAGCAGUGGGGAAUAUUGCACAAUGGGCGGAAGCCUGAUGCAGCAACGCCGCGUGCGGGAUGACGGCCUUCGGGUUGUAAACCGCUUUCGCCUGUGACGAAGCGUGAGUGACGGUAAUGGGUAAAGAAGCACCGGCUAACUACGUG
rnacentral:rRNA from 1 species